AAUACAACGAUCUACUUUCGGAGUCUGUAUUAAUAGGCUGCUACCAGAAUAGGACGCUAUCAGAUGCCCUUCCCGGCAGCAGUAUAUGUGUCGUGUGUGAGCGGAGUAAAGGGGCCGUGGAACCGAAGAAAAGGCACGGACAGCAAACGGUGUGCUGUCUGCAUCUUUUUGGGGCCCCAUAGAAAUGAAUGGGUCCGCAAAAUUCUGCAGACAGGAGUUGUGGCUGGAAGAAGUCACCAUGGUGGCCUGGAUCAGAUGGAGAAGAAAAAGCAAAUAGAACAACUGCAAUCAGAAAAGACAUCACCUGAGAUCUAUAGGCCUCUGGGGCCCACGUGACUCUUUACACUCCUAAAAAAGGGUCCAAAUCAAGUUGCCCAGAAGGUUUGAGUAAACCUGUGCAAGGCUCCCUCUCCACAAGGAGCCUCCAUUAUCCUACAAGUCCAUUCUGUUUUACAAGAGAUAGUUAGAAGGAUCAACAAGCACCAGCGGGUAAGGUGGGGACGGUGGCACCAUUUCAAUCUUUUUUUCAGUACCUCUUGAACGGUUUCCAGCAAUGAAGAUGUUAAGCACGUCUGGUCGUCUGCACUGACAUUAUGGGGUCUGCGGACAGGUGGUCUGUGCUGUUGGAUGUGUUUAUCUUCAGUCCAGGCUGUUUGGGACUCCAGUAUUUAGACAGAAUUCAGCUGGAGCCGAAGGAGGGGGAGGGGAUGAAAGGACAAAUGUCUCCAAACCCAUAGGAAGCUCCAAUCACAGCCGUACACCUCCCAGUGGAGAGCAUUAUUCCCAAAAAUAAAAUAUAAUCUCACUGG